UCCUCCAAAAAACGAUCUCCAAACUUGUUGGCUUCAACAUGAACCUUCUCAGCAGCGAGAUUAUAGACGCUAAUGCUGAAAGCUUGUUAGGAAAGCCAUCGCUGAAGUAUUUGGAGCAAUACUACAAAUUCCGCGUGUAGGUAUUAAGUAGACUAGGAGUCAGUUUUAAUUUGGAGAAAUGUUGUUUAUAAUACACAAGCCCGUACACUGAGCAAUCUCCAUUUAUAGAGCUUACGCCAUCAAGACACACGGAGCUGGGAAAUCGUGCGUCUCUGAACUGUAAAAAGCCACUCCACCGACUGGAUUUAGGGUGUUACAGGAAGAAAAGUCCUUGAAGACUGGGACAACAAAUAGAAGCGACAUCCAUCAUCACAAAGGACUAGAGCUCUUAAGGAGAGGAAGAACACACUGGAGAGAAACAACGAGGGAACGAUUAAUUAAAUUAACUGUACAUGCCUCAAUUCAAACCCUGCGAGAAGACAGAAUUAGAGGGCAUAUUUUUU